rnacentral:rRNA from 1 species
UACGUAGGGUGCAAGCGUUGUCCGGAAUUAUUGGGCGUAAAGAGCUCGUAGGCGGUCUGUCGCGCGGCUGUGAAAACCCGGAGCUCAACUCCGGGCCUGCAGUCGAUACGGGCAGACUGGAGUUCGGCAGGGGGAGACUGGAAUUCCUGGUGUAGCGGUGAAAUGCGUAGAUAUCAGGAGGAAUACCCGAUGCGAAGGCAGGUCUCUGGGCUGGACACUGACGCUCAUGCACGAAAGC